CUGCAGUUCGUGUGGUGAAGGUGCUCCCACAAUGUGGUUGGGGAUCUGCACUGGAACCCUUCUGUUUGCAGGACAAAUAUAUAUUUGAUGAAGAUGUGUUGAAAAUGUUUGCAGUUACUGAUCUGCUGAACGAAAAUGACCACUUUUAAACUGAUGAUUGGACUAGAGACCU